GGGCCCGCACAAGCAGUGGAGUAUGUGGUUUAAUUCGAAGCAACGCGAAGAACCUUACCAGGGCUUGACAUAAUAGGGAAUAGUGUAGAGAUACAUUAGUCCUUCGGGACUCUAUUACAGGUGGUGCAUGGUUGUCGUCAGCUCGUGUCGUGAGAUGUUGGGUUAAGUCCCGCAACGAGCGCAACCCCUGUUGUUAGUUGCCAGCAUUAAGAUGGGCACUCUAACAAGACUGCCGGUGACAAAUCGGAGGAAGGUGGGGACGACGUCAAAUCAUCAUGCCCCUUAUGUCCUGGGCUACACACGUACUACAAUGGCUAUUACAGAGGGAAGCGAAGCCGUAAGGUGGAGCAAAUCCCCAAAGAUAGCCCCAGUUCAGAUUGUGGGCUGAAACCCGCCCACAUGAAGUCGGAAUUGCUAGUAAUGGCAGGUCAGCAUACUGCCGUGAAUACGUUCCCGGGCCUU
rnacentral:rRNA from 1 species